GGCCGAUUCGGCUAACGGUUAGGCCGUCAGGUUUUCACCCUGAAAGCCCGGGUUCGACUCCCGGAUCGGCUG
rfam:Kibdelosporangium aridum strain DSM 43828 genome assembly, contig: LX79DRAFT_scaffold00002.2